AAGCGCUUGCGGUCAGACUUGGCCGUCGUUGCUCGGCGGGGUCUUGUGCCCCGUUUGUUCUUCGGCGGCUGGGCCAGCAUCGGCUCGGGCGGUUGGAUAAAGGCUGUGGGAACGUGGCUCUCUCCGGGGAGUGUUAUAGCCCAUGGUGCAAUGCAACCUGCCUGGGUCGAGGUCUGCGCAUCUGCUAGGAUGCUGGCGUAAUGACCUCAAGCGG
rnacentral:rRNA from 1 species